rnacentral:rRNA from 1 species
GACGAACGCUGGCGGCGUGCCUAAUACAUGCAAGUAGAACGCUGAAGAGAGGAGCUUGCUCUUCUUGGAUGAGUUGCGAACGGGUGAGUAACGCGUAGGUAACCUGCCUUGUAGCGGGGGAUAACUAUUGGAAACGAUAGCUAAUACCGCAUAACAAUGGAUGACACAUGUCAUUUAUUUGAAAGGGGCAAUUGCUCCACUACAAGAUGGACCUGCGUUGUAUUAGCUAGUAGGUGAGGUAAUGGCUCACCUAGGCGACGAUACAUAGCCGACCUGAGAGGGUGAGCGGCCACACUGGGACUGAGACACGGCCCAGACGCCUACGGGAGGCAGCAGUAGGGAAUCUUCGGCAAUGGGGGCAACCCUGACCGAGCAACGCCGCGUGAGUGAAGAAGGUUUUCGGAUCGUAAAGCUCUGUUGUAAGUCAAGAACGGGUGUGAGAGUGGAAAGUUCACACUGUGACGGUAGCUUACCAGAAAGGGACGGCUAACUACGUG